CGAACGACUCUCGGCAACGGAUAUCUCGGCUCUCGCAUCGAUGAAGAACGUAGCGAAAUGCGAUACUUGGUGUGAAUUGCAGAAUCCCGUGAACCAUCGAGUUUUUGAACGCAAGUUGCGCCCCAAGCCUUCGGGCCGAGGGCACGCCUGCCUGGGCGUCACCC
rnacentral:rRNA from 1 species